UGGUGGGUAGUUUGACUGGGGCGGUCUCCUCCUAAAGAGUAACGGAGGAGCACGAAGGUUGGCUAAUCCUGGUCGGACAUCAGGAGGUUAGUGCAAUGGCAUAAGCCAGCUUGACUGCGAGCGUGACGGCGCGAGCAGGUGCGAAAGCAGGUCAUAGUGAUCCGGUGGUUCUGAAUGGAAGGGCCAUCGCUCAACGGAUAAAAGGUACUCCGGGGAUAACAGGCUGAUACCGCCCAAGAGUUCAUAUCGACGGCGGUGUUUGGCACCUCGAUGUCGGCUCAUCACAUCCUGGGGCUGAAGUAGGUCCCAAGGGUAUGGCUGUUCGCCAUUUAAAGUGGUACGCGAGCUGGGUUUAGAACGUCGUGAGACAGUUCGGUCCCUAUCUGCCGUGGGCGCUGGAGAACUGAGGGGGGCUGCUCCUAGUACGAGAGGACCGGAGUGGACGCAUCACUGGUGUUCGGGUUGUCAUGCCAAUGGCACUGCCCGGUAGCUAAAUGCGGAAGAGAUAAGUGCUGAAAGCAUCUAAGCACGAAACUUGCCCCGAGAUGAGUUCUCCCUGAGACUUUAAGUCUCCUGAAGGAACGUUAAAGACGAUGACGUUGAUAGGCCGGGUGUGUAAGCGCAGCGAUGCGUUGAGCUAACCGGUACUAAUGAACCGUGAGGUUUAACCUUACAACGCCGAAGCUGUU
rnacentral:rRNA from 1 species